CCUGUGCUAGAGUUCACAAAGAGAAUCUGCUGGUCUUCAUUCACUGGUAGGGGUCUUCAAUGUCCCUGUUAAUGCCCAGAUCAGAAACAUGU